rnacentral:lncRNA from 1 species
GAGAACAGAGACAUACAUUUCAAGUUUCAGCAGUCAGGAGCCCGCCUGGAGAAUAGAGGCAUACAAUUCAAGUUUUAGCAGUCAGGAGCUCGCCUGAAGAACAGAGGUAUUACAAUUCAAGUUUUAGUUUUCCAUUAAUUUCUUUGUCUAUUUUGAAGUCAGGAGCCCGCCUGGAGAACAGAGGCAUACAUUUCAAGUUUCAGCAGUGAGGAGCCCGCCUGGAGAAUAGAGGCAUACAAUUCAAGUUUCAGCAGUCAGGAGCCC